AAGUCGUAACAAGGUCUCCGUAGGUGAACCUGCGGAGGGAUCAUUAACACGUGUAAAAACGUAUUAUUUGCUAUCUAUAUCUUUACCCAUACCGUGAACUAUGUGCCAUAUAUUGAUUUUUUUAUAUGACUUUUUUUAUUUUCUAUGUUAUAUUUCAUGAUAUAGCAUAGAGAAUGGGAAAGUUUGCAAACCCUUUUCCAAAACCUUUCUUUUUUUUAUUUUUUUUGUUCUCUUUUGUAAUGAAAGGAAUGAAAGUAAUAUAAUAAAAAAUGACUAGCACAACUCUUAGCAACGGAUAUCUUGGUUCUC
rnacentral:misc_RNA from 1 species